UACGUAGGGAGCAAGCGUUGUCCGGAAUCAUUGGGCGUAAAGCGCGCGUAGGCGGCCCGAUAAGUCUGCUGUAAAAGUCAACGGCUCAACUGUUGAAAGCCGGUGGAUACUGUCGGGCUAGAGUACGGAAGAGGCAAGUGGAAUUCCUGGUGUAGCGGUGGAAUGCGCAGAUAUCAGGAGGAACACCUAUAGCGAAGGCAGCUUGCUGGGACGUUACUGACGCUAAGGCGCGAAAGCGUGGGGAGCGAACAGG
rnacentral:rRNA from 1 species